AAAAACAUGUCCUUUAGAAUUUAAUUUGAGGUCUAACCUGCCCACUGAAUUAAAUGGCCGCAGUAUUUUAACUGUGCAAAGGUAGCAUAAUCAUUAGUCUUUUAAUUGAAGGCUUGUAUGAAUGGUUGGACGAAAUAUUGACUGUUUCACGGAAAUUGAUUUAGAAUUUUAUUUUUUAGUUAAAAAGCUAAAAUUUAUUUAAAAGACGAGAAGACCCUAUAGAUCUUUAUGGUUUAUUUGUUAUAGUUAUUUAGAUAAUUUGGGCUAUAAUUAUAUAAAUUAUUUUGUUGGGGUGACAUUAAAAUUUAAUUAACUUUUAAUAGUUUAUUACAUUGAUUUAUGAUUUAUUGAUCCAUUAUUAAUGAUUAAAAAUUUAAGUUACCUUAGGGAUAACAGCGUAAUUUUUUUGAAGAGUUCAUAUCGAUAAAAAAGAUUGCGACCUCGAUGUUGGAUUAAGAUAUAAUUUUGGGUGCAGCAAUUCAAUUAUUAAGUCUGUUCGACUUUUAAUUUCUUACAUGA
rnacentral:rRNA from 1 species